rnacentral:rRNA from 1 species
UACGAAGGGUGCAAACGUUGCUCGGAAUCAUUGGGCGUAAAGCGCACGUAGGCGGCCUUGUAAGUCGGAUGUGAAAUCCCACGGCUUAACCGUGGAAGUGCAUCCGAAACUGCGAGGCUCGAGUAUGGAAGAGGGUCGCAGAAUUCCCGGUGUAGAGGUGAAAUUCGUAGAUAUCGGGAGGAAUACCAGUGGCGAAGGCGGCGACCUGGGCCAAUCUGACGCUGAGG